AUACGAUGUGCAAAUGAAUGAAUGGUGUCUGACUUUGAUUGAAUGCUGAUUUUGGUGUAAACAGAAAUGAUGUUCCGUCUGGUGCUUGUCGUCUUGUAUCACAUGGGACCCACAGGUAUCCUUAAAUAUUCCAAACAGAUGAAAGGAAACUUGUUGAUAAAUUCAGAAGCUGAGGAAUCAAUCUUAGAGGAAACUUGCCACUGAUUGCACUUUCAGGUUAUAUGUUCAUGAACAAAUUUCAAAAUUAUCCGUUCAACAUUUCAGAAGCUGGUAGUAUAGAAACCCAGCUGCAAUAAACCACAUACUGUUGCCAAUUUAUUUAGCUUAAGUAACAUUGGUUAAGAUGAUACAAUUAAAUUGACAAAAUGAGCAUUGGAAAUUACAUU